CCUACGGGAGGCAGCAGUGAGGAAUAUUGGUCAAUGGGCGCGAGCCUGAACCAGCCAAGUCGCGUGAGGGAAGACGGUCCUAUGGAUUGUAAACCUCUUUUGUCGGGGAGCAAAAGACGCCACGCGUGCCGUUCCGAGAGUACCCGAAGAAAAAGCAUCGGCUAACUCCGUGCCAGCAGCCGCGGUAAUACGGAGGAUGCGAGCGUUAUCCGGAUUUAUUGGGUUUAAAGGGUGCGUAGGCGGAAGGUGAAGUCAGCGGUAAAAGUGAGGGGCUCAACCGCGGCGAGCCGUUGAAACUGGUUGUCUUGAGUGAGCGAGAGGUAUGCGGAAUGCGUGGUGUAGCGGUGAAAUGCAUAGAUAUCACGCAGAACUCCGAUUGCGAAGGCAGCAUACCGGCGCUCAACUGACGCUCAGGCACGAAAGUGUGGGUAUCGAACAGGAUUAGAUACCCGUGUAGUC
rnacentral:rRNA from 1 species